GUCUACGGCCAUGCUACCCUGAACAAGCCCCAUCCCGUCUGAUCUCGGAAGCUAAGCAGGGUUGGGCCUGGUUAGUACUUGAAUGGGAGACCACCUAGGAAGACCAGGUGCCGUAGGCA
rnacentral:rRNA from 1 species